UCUCCACAUCUGGAAUGUUUUUCGUCAGUAGGCCCAGGAUUUCAAUGACAGAGUUGGUCACAUGAGAUCAAGCUGCUUUAGCCACUAUGCCCCUGGCUGACCAGAGAGAAGAAAGUCUUAUUCAGUGUUGUAAUCUGUCUGUAGCAGACUUCCUGGCCCAAAAGGGGCACUAUUGCAAUUAACUUUGCUAUUUUACCCACAGGCCCUUUGAACAGUUUGAUUUCCACAACAGUCUCCAAAAUGGGUCGU